AAUAAAAAGGUACAAAAACAGAGAUUUAGAAAAUUUGUUUGAUACAUAUAGAAUCAGUAUUCAAAUCCUAUUCUCUUGACUCAGUCUUCUGGAAGAUUCUAGAGUCUUCCAGAAUUCUAAAACUGCCUCUCUAGGUCCAGCUUCCAGCUAACCUUGUACCCACUCUUCAGCCUCAUUAUUCUCCUAGAAACAUCUCUGGUCUUCUACAUGGAAUAAAUCCUGCAAGAACUGCAGACUUUUUGGACAUUUGUCGAAUACAAACAGCCCAUCAAUGGACUGACUAGAACCUGCAGGAAAGGGCAUCAUGGCUCUCUUUCCCCCACCUGACACUGGCACCUUAUAUAAUUGCUACACCGGGGAUGCUCAGAAAGAAGGCAUACUUGAUGAGAAAAUGAUAUCAAGUAUAUUGUAUUCAGAUGUGGCUGAAAAGGCCGAAGCUGGAUCAACUGAGAUCACGCAUGCAUUGAGCAGAGAUUCAUUGUCCUUCAACCAAUAAAAUUGCAAGAGGACUGGUAGCAUUGCCCUGGGAUGUUCACAAUGAGCACUGCUUGAUAACAGGCUUCUGAAUGGUCAGCUCCUUCACAUACAUACCUCAAGUGAGUCAAUAUAUGCAAGAGGUUGGGUAUAUCAUGGGCACAUAGUAGGUGCUCAAUAAGUUGUUUCCUCUUUCUCUUAAACCACAGAAGCCCCUUCUGCUUGCUGUAGGACUAACUGGAUGCAGGCAAGUAUAUUUUAGGUUAAAUAGAAUCAUACACAGCUGCAGUUUUCCUCUGUAAGUUCUUGGGAGGGCAGAUUUUUUCAGGCUAUGUCCAGAAGCUCCAAGGAAUAAUUCACUAUUCAAAGCUCAAUAAUGUCAAGAUUCUUUUAAGAAUGCAAGACAUGUUAUAAACUUUUCAUAUGUUCAAUGACACUGAAUUAACAAGAGAAAAAAAUGGCUUGACAUCACUGUCCGUACAACAAAUUUAAGUGAGCACAGAUUUCGGGGCCCAGAAGACCUGGAUUUGAACCCUAGCUUCAACACUUUCUAGCUAUGUGACCUUGGAUAAGUCCCUUCAUUUCACUAGACAUCAUCUCAAAUGGGGGAUGACUUUCCUUGAAAUGUUGUUGUAAGGAUUCAAGAUAAGAUAUGUAAAGUACUGGUACAGUGUCUGGCAGACAGGAAGCACUCACUAAAUGACAUAAUAUCACCAUGGAUAUUCAAGCAUAUUCAUUACUAUUAAGCUUACUUUUGAUAAAACAGUAAUAUCAUAGAUUUAAAGAGUAUUUUUAACAAAAAUGUGUUACGUUACUGCAAUAGGUAGCAAAUGAGGUUAUUUGCUUUAUGGAUUUGACCAAUUCCCCUAAGCUUUCCAGUUCUCACAUGACGCUUUCCUCCAGGAAAACAAUGAUAUCUAGUUCUGAUUUUUCUCCUUAGAGAUUUAUGAGUAUUAAAUAUAUUUUAAUAUAUCUAUAAAGAGAUUUAAGCUCUUUUUGGAAAUAAAGCUGAAGGAGCCAUUGAUCAGAGUUUGACACGGAAAUAAUUUCACUGUUGGGCUGCAUUUUCCCAAAUACAUUUCUCCCCAUAUAUUGAUGGAAAAUUCAGUAUUUCAUUUUCUGAAUAUUGCCCAAAUGAACUGUGGAAGUCCGGCAGAAGUGCUUGAUUGUACUUUCAUUAGACUUCUUUUCCUUUAGGCCAUACAGGUGCAAUGAAAGAAGAAAGAAAAUUAAUUAAAUUUAUGGGCAUGUUUAUACCCUCCAGGUGCCAUAAAAUGUACUGGCUCAGACAUUUUUCAAGUAAUUAAGCAGACAUCUCUGUGUUUCCUAAUGAGUUGCUGCCCUUCCCUUUUUAAUCUGGUGAGAGAUCUCAUCACCUGCUCUCUGUCAGCUGACGGGCUUAUUCCCUGGAUGAGCUCAACCUUCUCCUCAUGCUGCAACGUGCUAAUGGGACUCCAUGGACACAGAUAUGAGAUCCUCUUCUCUGCAAAAACCUUUCCGAGGGUCAAGUAAUAAUUGUACUGGGCAUGGUGGGAUAAGCAUAUUAAAAUAAACCUGUUUGCCUCUAAGGUGUAUUAUUGGAGAUGCUGCUUCAUAUGACUUGAGAAAUAUUAUGACUAAAAUAUGUACAAAUAUUCAAAUAUAUGUUAUAUAUUAUGUAUUUUAUAUGUAUUAGAAGAAGUAAACAAUUCAGCUCAGUCUGGGGCUUAGCUUUACAGAUGAGAAUCUGAACUGCAUUUCAAAGGAUGUAUGAGCUGAAUUUUGUCCACAAUGUGGAGGUGAGGGAAGAUUCCAGCAGACGUGAAGAUCACACAUAACUGGUUUAUCCGAUGCUUCUACAAUCCAUCCAGUGCCGUUCCAGACACCAAACACCCUUAAGGAGUACUAGGUUGAGGUAAGAAAGCAAACUAACAUUUGAAAUAAUCAGAGCUCUGAAUUAUAGAGAAUAUGUAUAAUCAAUCUCAUUCCAUAGGAGUUGAGUACAAGUGGAUGUUCCAAACCAUGGUUGGACAUGGUUGAAAUCCCAAACCAUCCAACUUAAACAAAACCAGGAGAAGUUACACGAGGGCCAUAGUACAGAGUGCAGGAAGGAGAAGGAAGGCAUCCCAGCAGAAUGCAGGACUUGCGGAGCCAACACAAAGGAUAAAGAAAGAGAUGGAGAGGGGCUUCCAGACAAGGGAGUGUUAUAAACUCAGCAUAUGUGGGAGCAUGGAAGGCACUGCUCUCUCUACAGCAGUGAGUGUAGCGUGGAAGGCUUCUAUAAACAAGAUUAGAGAGGCACAGAGAGGCCAGAUCAAAAUAGAAGGCUUAGAAUCCAGAGAGAGAGGUUAGAAUCUGAACCUUUGCACAGAUUCCUUAACAGUGGCAUAUAAUCAAUUCCUUAAAAAAAAAAAUCACUUGAAGAAAUCUUAAAGAUCAACUAAUCUAAACCUAUCCUCCCUGCAAAUUCUUUUCAUAGAUGAAGAAAUACCUUGACAAAUAGUGUUUUAUUAAGAUUCAUCUGGCAGUGACAUAAGGAUUGCUUGAGCUUCCAGGCACUCUGGGCAAAUGCCUCAUCUUCUGGCCAGACUCUCUCCAUCUCUGGCGGUCCCCAUCUCAGUGGAAUGGCUCCUUCAUCCGCAGGACAGCCUGAGCUCUCCCUGUUAGUUUUAUUCUCUCCUGAACCUACUCAUUUUCUCUGAGGACCACUGUCUCAAUUCAGAUCUUUAUCAUUUCUGACUAGAGUAACACACGAGUUGUUUAGCUUUUCUCUUUGCCUUCGUUUUUCUCCCAUUCGAAGUCAUUCUCCAAAUGUGCUUGAGUGAAAAAAAGAUGAUGGUACCAAAGCCAUCUUCCUAAAAUGCAUUAUUUUAUUAUUGUCUUCAGAGAAAUGUUCCAAGCUCCUCUGCUUGACCUCCUCUGGAAAUGAUUCCCUGACAUCCCUGCAGCAAGGUCCCUUACCCUCCAUUAAUGUCCUCACUUUUCAUGUUUCCAUCUUGUUGCAGCCUUUGCUGAAAGUGCUUCCCCUCUCUGUGAUACUCUUCUCCUCCUCAACACUCGACUCUGACAUCACUUCCACUGGGAAACAUUCAAAUCACAUCUCUUUUAGUUGCAGCUGACUGAAAUCCCAAACCAUCCAACUUAAACAAAACCAGAACCAACUUAAACCAAAAACAAAAAGGGGGGGUAUAUAUCGACACAAGGAAUGGUGAUGGAGCUAGCUUCAGGCAUGGCCCUAUUUAGUGACACACCUGUUACCAGAUCUCUCUCCCUGCAGAGACCCUGUCUCCCUUUCCCAUUUCCAUAAUAUAAUGGCUCCAUUUCUUCAGGUGGUGGCAACAAAACUGCAGACGACUGUCCCUGGACCAGAAAGGAAGGAGAAUUCUUAGGAAAAUUCUGGGGGAAUGUCUUCAGUUGGCCAAGCUAAGUUCAUAUGUCUAUCCCUGUACUUAUUAUUGUGGGAAGGAGAAUGAAGUGGAAUUAUUAGCUCAAUCAUGAUCGUGUGUCAGAGGUUGUUACCAGGAGAAGGUGAUAAAUAAAGGAGUGCUGAGCCAACGAAAAACAAUAGCAAUGCAAGACCACUUUUCUUACCCGUUAAGGCUGUCAUCCCUCAUAGCUGCUCCUUUCAUGACUUUACAUAGUGCUAUCUUAAAUCACCAUUAUAUUAUCACCUACUUUCUUUUCUGCCUUCCUCAAGAGUAUACUCAGAAGCAUAUUCAUCAUCACUACAGUGCUUGGCAUAUAGCAGUGUCUUGAAAAACAUUCAGUGACUAGACCAAAAAAAAAAAAAAGUAAAAAUCCAUGACAAACCUAAAGAGAACUGACCUAGUGGUAAUCAAAGUAAUAUGUAUGGUGUCGAAGGGGGCAGGCCAGAGUAGAAGAACAAGGACUCAGGGACAAUGCUAUGUGGGUAUUUGCAGUCAAAGAGGGUGAGGAAAAAGCAAAUACAGCCAAGAAAAAAUAAGCAAGCAGAAGGUUUGAAAAAGUAGCAAAAUAGUUUAAAAUCUCAGAAACUAAGCAGAGGAGCUUAUGAACACAAAGUAAAAAAUGUAAGCUUUAUUGGUUUGGAUACUGGCUAACUGGAAAUGUUUCCUACAUAGCUGUAUUUACUGGCAAAUAUAGGAACCUCACAAAUAAAUGCUGUGGCAGGUGGGCAGGGUUUAGGGGGCAGUAGUGGUGGUGAAGUCUCAGAACAUGCCUACAGAAGCUUCGAGCAUGACUGAAAAUGGACAUGUCUGUCAAAGAACUGGAGGGUAAGCCCUCAUGAAGGAAGGAGGGAAAGGAGAGUAGAGGAGACAAGCCUAAAUCAGGAACAACACCUUGGUCACCAGAAGGGGGAGAUGAUUCUGAGUGCAGUGUGGUGCUGGUCAUUUGCAUAUGUCUCCCAACCAGGACUCUGGGGAUAGGGGCAACAGAUGGAAAAUGAAAGCGCUCCCUCAUUAGAAACCCAAUGACACACUGAGGCAUAAGGUGUGUUGCUUGGGGACAUACUUGAUAAAGGUUAACACUGAAGUGAGCAGAGAAGUAUUCUCCCUACUUCUGCAUGAAUCAGAGGAUGACCUUAACACACUAAGGUCCCAGGGGAACACACAGGCCUUGGAUGCCCUGAGCAUUUCAGCAUUAGCUUGGUCCGCAUGGUCAUGGUGAGGAGGUGGAGGGGUAGGGGCGGCCUGCAGAAACCAUUCUUCUGUGGACAUCAGGGUCAUUAGCAGCAGAGUCACUGGAACCGGAACCAGGGUGGAAAACGAAGAAAAUUCUGCUGCCAUGCCGUGGCUGCUAGGACAGGCUCAAGUAUAUAGACAGGCUCCACAGUAUAUAGAAACCUUCCAGGGACUCUUAACUAUAAUUGAGGGAAAGUGCAUGAGGCCAGAAAUCCUAAAAUAGUUUACAGGAACAACUUUCAAUGAAACAUGAGCUGUGAAGCAUUUAUCACUUCACAGAGCACAGGGGGAAGGAACUGGCACAUGAAUUGUCAUUACUCUUGAGAUACCCAUGUGACCUCAUCUUCAAUAGGUAAAAAGUUUUGAAUCAUUUUGAAUAUUUAAAAAAAACAACAGCCAACAUUUAUAGGCUAGGUACUAAAUAUAUAUAGUUGCUCCACAGAAGAGUUCAUUUUUCUCCUUACUCUCUUUAGCAGAAGUUGAUUAGGAAAAGAAAAAAAAAAGCAGAAUGAAGAUAUUCUUUAAAAAAAUAAAUUAAGCGCACAAUGAGGUCUCCCACUAAGCACCACGAAAAAAUAGGCUUGGUGCCAUCACCUUCACAGUUACAAUAUUCUUCCUUUGGGAAGUGCCUGUCCACAGUCUGAAAGUCAUUUUUUCCAACGUGUAAGCCUACUGCAUGAAGUAUCUGAACCCAGAGAGGAGUUUUUCACAGAUGCAGGAGGAAAAUGGGAAAGUGUCUGAGGCAAAAUGAAAUCUCUGGGUGUCACAGUUAGUGCCAAGAAGAGUGUGUCCUCAGGGUGGAGGUCACAGUUGUGUCAUUAUAGAGCAUAAUAAAGCUAUGCCAGAUGGGGAAGAGGGUUUCUUUAAUAAAACCCACACUGACACUUGAGACAGUCCAGGAUACCUGAGAAAUUACGAACCAAGUAACUGGAUAUUUUCAUCUCCAAAACACACUUUAUAGCACUUUUGGAGAAAAAAUUUCAGUGAAAAAUCUUUAUUUUUUCCUUUGACAAAAUUACGAGGCAGAAAUCUCUCAAGACUAAAUUUCAAAGUGGUUUCCACGUUCACAUGCUUAAAGGACUAUAUAUCGGCUUCUUCCCCUCCAAUUGCACCAGAAAGGUGCGGGAAUAGACAUCAAGAUCUUAUAUUAAAGGAGGGCUCAUUCAAAACCAGCACUUAAUCUAGGCUGGCACAUGGUCUAGUUGUUCCCUGAGUAAAGGAAUUGUCUCUGAUUCACCCACAAACCCUCUGCCAACACAGCCUUACACAGUACCCGAUAUAUACUAGGCACUGAGUAAAUAUUUAUUAAGAUUUUAAAAAAUGCUUAAAAUCUAAAACUUGCAUACUUGAUUCUCCAGGAAUAAUCCUUGGGGUGGUUACCAGGAAUAGCUCGAGAUAUAAAAGUUGAGAGCCCUACAUGUUCUAUGCAUUCAUUCAGUUAAGCAGCAGUCUAUGCAAUGCUGGGUGAAAGAAAUAUUAGAAUAAAAUCAUGGCAGAUUUUGAGAGAUGCAAAGGUAAUGAUAUGAAUCCUGCCUAGAAAGAACUCACAGUUUAGUUAGGAAGAUAGACUUGAUUAAAAAUUCUUCAUAAUAAAUUAGCAUUUUCAAAUGGCCAGUAACCAUAAAAAGAUGCUCAAUUUUAUUCCCCACCAGGGAAAAUAAAAUUAAAACCACAAUGAAACACCACUAUAUGCUCCAGAAGAGCAGAAGGAAAAAUGAUGUGAAAUAUCAAAUGUUGAUGAGGAUGUGACAAACCCAGAAAUUUCAUAUACUCCAGGUGGUGUUGGUGGGGGUAAAGGGACGAGGGAUUAAGGGAGGAUGGGUACAGACACUUCAGAAAAUUGCUUUUUAGUGUCUGUGAAAGCUGAAAGCAGGCCAUUAGAUUCCUCCUAGGCAUACACCUAAGAAAAACACAUAUACGUCGUGUUCACCAAAAGCUGUGUAUUGGAAAGUUUCAGCAGUCCUGGAAACUAUGCUAAUCUUCAUCCACUGUAGAAUGAAAAAAUAAAUUGUCACAAUGAGCAAUGAGAGUGAACAAUCUACAACUACCUACAAUAAUGCAGAUUCAUCUAAAAAAAAUAACCUUAAACCAAACAAGUCAGAUGUGAAAGAGCACAUGUUGUACGACUCCAAUUAUAAGAAGUUCAAAAGCAAGCCAAAAUAGUUUAUGCUGUGAGAAGCCAGAAUAAUGGAUAUCUUUUGGGGAUGUGGGCAAUUAGCAAGGUUGAAAGGGCAGUUGAAAGGGGCUGGAGAGGUGUUUCUGGGACCGAUGGUAAUAUUCUGUUUCUUAAUCUGGGUGCUAGUUGUACAAGUGACUUUCAGUUUGUGAAAAUUCAUUGCUCUGUGCACUUAGGAUUUGGCACAUUUCUAUGUGGUGUGUAUAUUAGACUGUUUAAAUAGUUUAACAAAAAGUCUGCUUUAUAUACUAAAAAGGAAUCAUAAAGAAAGUAUGCAAGAUGUGUAGACAACUGGGCACUGUAAUUUCACACUUUGAAGCUCUGCAUCCUGGUCCAAACUUUUAAUAAUAACAGAUAUAUUAUUAUAAAAAUUUAAAACGAAAAAGCCAUGACCAAUUUCUGCUUUGAGCCUGACCAUGCAAGGAGCCUGUAAGUCAUCACUGCCACUUACAACAAGGAAACGCCAGCUAAAUUGAAAAUCGCUGACUUUCCCCGGACCCAUCAAAGAACUGAAGUUGCAUGGCAAACCACCACCUUGAAAUCUGCAGAGACGGGCAUAUCCAAAGAGACACAGCCUAGCUCUACAUACUUCAGAAGGUAACGGUCAGGAAAGGCUCUUGGAAGAAAGCAAUUGAGUUUUGAAAUAGGAAAUCAAGCCCUCCUUUGCAUAAACAAGUUUUGUGAAGCAUUAGAGAACUAUGUGAACAAGGAAAAACCAGUGGCUCUAAAUUCUUUUAACUCUGAAAAGGCUUUGAAAUGUUCCUCAUCAUAGUCCUUCAGUGUAAAUGAAAAAAAAAAAAAAGAAAGAAAAGAAACAUUCCUCAUCAAAGAGUAUUAAAAAGACAAUGAAACAAAAGAUCUCCAAAGGGUUGGCCAAGAAGGGAGAAAAAUCUGGUUAUAACUCUCCCCUGGAUACAUCUUCCCCUAUUGUUCUCCGGCAGCCUGAUGGGAACCCUCUUGAAAAUACCCUCAUGAAAGACUCAAGAAGCAACCAAAGACACUGUGAGCAAGACAAUGCAGACUGUGUUAAUGGAACUGCACAGUAUCUGAUUAGUUAAUAUGCUGCCAAGGGUUACUAAAGAAAAAUAUGUUAUUUUGAAAUGGGGGCUGCUAAGGUUAUUUUGUCACCUUGCACUUGUCUAGCACACAGUGGAUGUUAAAAAAAAUGUUUAUUGAGUGAAUGAAUGUUCACAGUUAGCUAACAAUGGAACCUGCUCUAAUGCAUCAGUCAGAGAUGACAGUGAAAGAAAGGAAUGGUAACAAAACAGCGUCUGAGAACCUAGAUUCCUUACUGGAGUACACAUCUGGCUAAAGAAGGAAUGGAUCAAAUUACUUAUCAUGUCGAGUACUUCUGACAGAUUGAUAGAAGACCCCAUGACUCAGUGAAGACCAAACAAAAGCUAGCCCUGAAAGACUCAGCAUAAAAGCAUCACUAUUUCAAAGACACCAAACAAACAAAUCCAGGUCCAGAAGGCUACUGAUUGAUAAAAUGGAUUAUAACAAAGAUACUGAGUAAGCUGAGAGGAUUUGUUUUUUUUUUAAAGAAAGGUGAUAAUGGAUUUAUUAAGAAUAUUCCAUGAUUGCUUCCACUGAAAUAGUCACUUCACUUUACAAGGACCAGAGUUGGGACUAUGAAUUAAUUAUGGUAAUUUCAAAGUAUCUAUGCAAGAGGAGGACUGUGUGUAUGAAUAAGUAAGCGUCUCUUAGUAACAUUUUCUGAUGAAUAAAUCAGUUUAAAAUUGGAAAUCUGUGUCCUCUGGUAAUUUCUUCUAAGCCUUCUUUCCUGUGAAAUCCCUUUUCAAAAUUAACACACCUAGAAGACAUUCAUUAAACAUUUGUUGAAUGGAUGAAUUUUGAUGUGACAUUGAGAUAACACUUUAAAUUCAGUAUUACUGUAAAGUAGUACCCAAUGCAUAGUUUUCAUAAGCAAAUGUUUUGCAGUGAUUAUAGGACUACAGUGAAAUUUAAUACUUGGGUGGAAAUUAUGAAGACAUAGGCCUACAGUGAGUUAGGGCUGUGCCUCACACAUCCAAAUGUCUCACUAUGGUUUUAAAAAAAAAGGCAUAAAGUUUGGGCGUGGUGGCUCACGCCUAUAAU